UACGUAGGGAGCAAGCGUUUGUCCGGAAUCAUUGGGCGUAAAGCGCGCGUAGGCGGCCUCAUAAGUCCGUUGUGAAAGUCAAAGGCUCAACCUUUGAAAGCCGAUGGAUACUGUGAGGCUAGAGUCCGGAAGAGGCGAGUGGAAUUCCUGGUGUAGCGGUGGAAUGCGCAGAUAUCAGGAGGAACACCAAUGGCGAAGGCAGCUCUCUGGGACGGUACUGACGCUGAGACGCGAAAGCGUGGGGAGCGAACAGG
rnacentral:rRNA from 1 species